ACAGGGUUUACCACAGCCGCUGACACAUACUGCACACUUUUUGAAACAAGCGGCAUACUCACUUGUUUCAAAAAGUGUGCAGUAUGUGUCAGCGGCUGUGGUAAACCCUGUAAGCAACACU
rnacentral:pre_miRNA from 1 species